rnacentral:rRNA from 1 species
GUGAGGAAUAUUGCGCAAUGGAGGCAACUCUGACGCAGCCAUGCCGCGUGCAGGAAGAAGGCGCUACGCGUUGUAAACUGCUUUUAACCGGGAAGAAACCCCAGGACGUGUCCUGGGUUGACGGUACCGGAGGAAUAAGCACCGGCUAACUUCGUGCCAGCAGCCGCGGUAAUACGAAGGGUGCAAGCGUUAUCCGGAUUCAUUGGGUUUAAAGGGUGCGUAGGCGGAACGUUAAGUCAGUGGUGAAAUCCUGCAGCUUAACUGUAGACUUGCCAUUGAUACUGGCGCUCUUGAGUGCGCUUGAAGUGGGCGGAAUGUGCCGUGUAGCGGUGAAAUGCUUAGAUAUGGCACAGAACACCAAUUGCGAAGGCAGCUCACUAAGGCGAUACUGACGCUGAGGCACGAAAGCGUGGGGAUCGAACAGGAUUAGAUACCCGAGUAGUCC